GAAUUAAAGCUUUUCAUUUUACUUCUCACCUUAAGAAGUGUAAUGGCUCAGAUUUGGGUGUAAGCAAGAUAAAUGUCAGUUAAGAAUGACAAAGAAUACUGAAUUUAUGAAGAACAGUUUUGAUAUUCUGAAGGAACUGGAGGAGUGCCAACAUUAAUGCUAAGCUCACCUUGAACCAUGUGGGAGCUGAAGGCACAGAAGGCUGUUCCUGUCACCUCAAAUAGGGACAUCAAGGGAUGUACCUUAAUACCAACCUUCGGCUCAUCAGAUGUAUGCACAGACUUGGAGAUGAGUGACUUGGAUCCUGUUCUCACAGGAUGUAUUUGUCUUUUGUACAGACCUUGUGCUUCUACACCAUGAAACAACCAGAAGACUCUAAGCUCAGAGUGAUGAAGUAAGUAGUAAUAACAAUAGGGGCUGGUAAAAUGAUGCCUCAUGAUAUGUUCUCUGAGAGCAGGAAGAGAUAAAUCAAUCUGCCAUCAUCAAAACUGACAACUACUCUCACCCACAAACUCCUGACUACCAAGAGAGAUGUCUGCACUCUGCCCUGUGGAGUCUCCAGUCCAUCCCUCCACAAUCCUGCAGCCACAGAAACCUGGGAUUUACUAGGAUUUUGAAAUAACUUCAAUUCAUCACAGCUGCAGCCUGGAACUCAAAGCAAAUCAGAAAAUGUUCCAGGAAUUAAUUUUUAAGAGAAUCUCAUCUCGCUCUUCUUUUUUUUUCCUUUUUUUUAAGAGAUUUGU